rnacentral:rRNA from 1 species
GAUGAACGCUAGCUACAGGCUUAACACAUGCAAGUCGAGGGGUAACGAGAGGAAAGCUUGCUUUCCUUGUCGACGACCGGCGCACGGGUGAGUAACGCGUAUCCAACCUGCCCCCAACUAGGGAAUAACCUUGCGAAAGUAAGACUAAUACCCUAUAAUUUCCUCAGAUGUCAUCUGACGAGGAAUAAAGAUUUAUCGGUUGUGGAUGGGGAUGCGUCUGAUUAGCUUGUUGGCGGGGUAACGGGCCACCAAGGCAACGAUCAGUAGGGGUUCUGAGAGGAAGGUUCCCCACAGUGGAACUGAGACACGGUCCAAACUCCUACGGGAGGCAGCAGUGAGGAAUAUUGGUCAAUGGGCGGAAGCCUGAACCAGCCAAGUAGCGUGCAGGAUGACGGCCCUAUGGGUUGUAAACUGCUUUUAUACAGGAAUAAAGUUAGCCACGUGUGGUUAUUUGUAGGUACUGUAUGAAUAAGGACCGGCUAAUUCCGUGCCAGCCGCCGCCGUAA